UCCCAAAAGUUGCCCCCCCACUCCUGAGUCGGAGCAUGACGUGAUGGGAAACCACUCCUUUCGUCCGAAGCCGUCGUCCACGUGGAAGCGCUGGCUCUUUGCCCUCGAAAGUGAAAAAACCUCCACCUCCGGGGUCGAUCAGGAAUCGUCGGUCGGGUUCCCCGACUGACUUCCUCGAGAAGAGAUUCUAGCCAUGAUGCUAGCCCCAGAAAGAAGAACAAAAAGAAAAUGGCAAAGGAGGAAGGGUGCAAGAAGACAAGAACAGGCAAAACUUCGAGAAGAGCUUUCGAAGGAUAACUCGACAGAGCCUCAGCGCUAGGAGUAGAUUUGCAGCAAAAGUAAAAUUUUGGAUGUAAGUGGCAGCAUAUAUAUAAGGC
rnacentral:lncRNA from 1 species